ACAACAAAAACGCAAACGCAAACAAAAGCGAUACUACCACCCAUCGUACCGGGGCCCGGACCGAUCCCGAAUUGCUGCGCGUACCAGAAAAGGUGUUGGCGA
rnacentral:sRNA from 18 species